rnacentral:lncRNA from 1 species
CACCACCACCACCACCACCACCACUACCGGCAAGGCAACACUAGCGUUAUCAUCGUCACGACAGUCAGCCAACGUCAGGGUAAGUCCUAACAACGAGCAACGACAAAAAUAUAAGCGCAGAGAGGAGAAGAAGAAGAUCAUCCUUGCACGUAAAACCAACCAACCAACCAACCACCCCCCUGCUACGUGUGUUUUUCUACGAGUCUGAAUAACGGGCAGGAAAAUAAAAAAAAAGAAAAAUAAUAAUAAAAAGAGGGAGGGAAAGAUAAAGAAAGAGCGAGAGGCAAAUAUAUAUACGCACGAAAAGAGAAAGACGGAGAUCCCUGCUGACAAGGGCGCGGCUGCUGAUUGCUGUCGCAUUGUGCAUUGCCUCGUCCCACAAGGAGACUUUGGUAUUGUCGCUAGCGACGUCUGAAUACCCUGGCAGCUCGACUUCCAAUGACGUGGGAGGAACCACCAAGAGAAACACCGAGAAAAAGUCCAAGAGA